UGACGAGUUUGAUCCUGGCUCAGAUUGAACGCUGGCGGCAUGCCUUACACAUGCAAGUCGAACGGCAGCACGGGAGCAAUCCUGGUGCGAGUGGCGGAACGGGUGAGUAAUAUAUCGGAACGUGCCCAGUCGUGGGGGAUAACGUAGCGAAAGUUACGCUAAUACCGCAUACGAUCUACGGAUGAAAGCGGGGGACUCGCAAGACCUCGCGCGAUUGGAGCGGCCGAUAUCAGAUUAGGUAGUUGGUGGGGUAAAGGCCUACCAAGGCAACGAUCUGUAGUUGGUCUGAGAGGACGACCAGCCACACUGGGGACUGAGACACGGCCCAGACUCCUACGGGAGCAGCAGUGGGGAAUUUUGGACAAUGGACGCAAGUCUGAUCCCAG
rnacentral:rRNA from 1 species